AUUGAACGCUGGCGGCAUGCUCUACACAUGCAAGUCGAACGGUAACAGGGAGCUUGCUCCGCUGACGAGUGGCGAACGGGUGAGUAAUGCGUCGGAACGUGCCGAGUAGUGGGGGAUAACGCAGCGAAAGUUGUGCUAAUACCGCAUACGUACUGAGGUAGAAAGUGGGGGACCUUCGGGCCUCACGCUAUUCGAGCGGCCGACGUCUGAUUAGCUAGUAGGGGAGGUAAAGGCUCACCUAGGCGACGAUCAGUAGCGGGUCUGAGAGGAUGAUCCGCCACACUGGGACUGAGACACGGCCCAGACUCCUACGGGAGGCAGCAGUGGGGAAUUUUGGACAAUGGGCGAAAGCCUGAUCCAGCCAUGCCGCGUGUCUGAAGAAGGCCUUCGGGUUGUAAAGGACUUUUGUCGGGGAGGAAAUCCCCAGCGCUAAUACCGCUGGGGGAUGACAGUACCUGAAGAAUAAGCACCGGCUAACUCCGUGCCAGCCGCCGCUGUAAAAC
rnacentral:rRNA from 1 species